AUGGAUCGGGGCGUGGGCUGGAGGCUCCGGGCGGCCGUGACCCUGCUGGAGUCCGGGGGGGACCUCCAGCCCCCCGGGGGGUCCCUGCGCCUCCUCUGCCAAACCUCUGGCUUCAAUUUUGGCAGUUUUGGGAUGGUGUGGAUCCGCCAGAGACCCGGGCAGGGGCUGGAGUGGGUGGCAGGGAUCAACAGUGACGCUUCCAGCACCGGCUACGCGCCGUCGGUCAAUGGGCGGUUCGUGAUCUCCAGGGUCAAGGAGCAGAGCUCGGUGACGCUGACCAUGAAGAACCUCAGGGACGAGGAUUCCGGAUCCUAUUUCUGCACAAAAACUGCUGGUGCUGGUUGGGGUGGUGCUGAUUGA